CUCCCAGCACACUCAACUUUGUCGGGCUCACUCGAGUCUAGCUUCGCAACGGUUCAGCAGCGUUCGGCGGUCACCGCGGACUUCAAGCGCGUGGCUAGCCCAACUCCGAGAGCUUGAGACGGCCGAGCACAGAAGCUGCGGCAUGCGCUGAAGUUUUCUUCGACCAUCGUGUGCGCCGCUGCAGCAUGCGUGCUACCUGAAUAUGGCAGUCAUGGACUUCGGGCCACGUACUGUUUUUUUUUUUUCUUUCUUGGAAUUAACGUGAGAAGGCGCUGCUGCUAUCGUCAAUCACCUCGGCUGCCUUUCUCGGUGGAACCUGCCCUUCCUCAUCUUUUUCUCGCAACUGGAAUGACAUCGCCUGCCAACUUUCGCUGCCUUCGGACAAAGAAAGCAAUUCAGCCUCAAGCCCGCCACUUCUAGCCCCAACCGAGCUUUCCGCCUGGACACAGCGAGCAACUUCCUGCGCGGGAGACUCCCUACUUCUACUUAAGCAGUCUCCGUCUUGGAACUUGGGGCACGCCACCGCACCGAGCGCGGUCGUGACGUCGACUUUGCUGGCGCAGGUUACCGACCAAGCUUCUGCAGUUGACAAAGAAUGGCCUUUCAUCUUGCAGUCAUUCCUAGUCGGUCAAGGAAUCCGGCACGCUGAAGUGCUUUCCUCCUGUUGCUGCGUAGGCGACAUGAAUGACCACUUGACCUCCAGCAUAUUAAUAAAACCGGCUUUUCGAGUUCGGUUCUUGUUAUUUUGAUCAGUAAAUAUUUAUUAAGGGGACAAAGAGGCAUAACGCUGCAUAUACAAAUGCAGAUUACGGUGCAGAGAAAAACAAAAGCUCGAAUUGUUUCUGCAACGAAUUGAAUAAACUCUGAAAUUUUGUUCGUUGUCUGUA